rnacentral:rRNA from 1 species
UACGUAGGGUGCAAGCGUUAAUCGGAAUUACUGGGCGUAAAGGGCGCGUAGGCGGCUACGCACGUCCGUUGUGAAAUCGCUCGGCUCAACUGGGCGGGGUCAGCGGAUACGGCGUAGCUGGAGCAAGCUAGGGGGCAAUGGAAUUCCCGGUGUAGUGGUGGAAUGCGUAGAUAUCGGGAGGAACACCAGUGGCGAAGGCGGCAUCCUGGACCGGCAUUGACGCUGAGGCGCGAAAGCCAGGGGAGCAAACGGG